UGUUAAAAAAUUCAUCUAAUUCUAUCGUUAAAAAUCGACAUUACUGUAAGGGUAACUAGACAAUUCCAUGUGGCGUGCCACAUAUACGUUAUUCUGCCAUACAAUGACCAAUUUUUAACAAUAAAAAUGAAUGAAAUUUUUAACG
rfam:Gossypium hirsutum cultivar TM-1 unplaced genomic scaffold scaffold104.1, whole genome shotgun sequence